rnacentral:rRNA from 1 species
GACGAACGCUGGCGGCGUGCCUAAUACAUGCAAGUUGAGCGCUGAAGGUUGGUACUUGUACCAACUGGAUGAGCAGCGAACGGGUGAGUAACGCGUGGGGAAUCUGCCUUUGAGCGGGGGACAACAUUUGGAAACGAAUGCUAAUACCGCAUAAAAACUUUAAACACAAGUUUUAAGUUUGAAAGAUGCAAUUGCCUCACUCAAAGAUGAUCCCGCGUUGUAUUAGCUAGUUGGUGAGGUAAAGGCUCACCAAGGCGAUGAUACAUAGCCGACCUGAGAGGGUUAUCGGCCACAUUGGGAAUGAGACACGGCCCAAACUCCUACGGGAGGCAGCAGUAGGGAAUCUUCGGCAAUGGACGAAAGUCUGACCGAGCAACGCCGCGUGAGUGAAGAAGGGUUUCGGAUCGUAAAACUCUGUUGGUAGAGAAGAACGUUGGUGAGAGUGGAAAGCUCAUCAAGUGACGGUAACUACACAGAAAGGGACGGCUAACUACGUG